rnacentral:rRNA from 1 species
GGGCGCAGCCUGAAUGCAGCCAUGCCGCGUGAUAUGAAGAAGGCCUUCGGGUUGUAAAGUACUUUCAGCGGGGAGGAAGGCGAUAAGGUUAAUAACCUUGUCGAUUGACGUUACCCGCAGAAGAAGCACCGGCUAACUCCGUGCCAGCAGCCGCGGUAAUAA